AACGCGAAGAACCUUACCGGGGCUUGACAUCGGAGGACAACUCUAGAAAUAGAGCUUAGGGGCAACCCUACUUCCAGACAGGUGCUGCAUGGCUGUCGUCAGCUCGUGCCGUGAGGUGUUGGGUUAAGUCCCGCAACGAGCGCAACCCUCGUCGUGUGUUGGUCCACAAGAUCUCUCACACGAGACCGCCGAUGAGAAGUCGGAGGAAGGUGGGGAUGACGUCAAGUCAGCAUGGCCCUUACGUCCCGGGCUACACACGUGCUACAAUGCGCCGAACAACGAGCUGCGAACCCGCGAGGGUAAGCCAAUCUCUUAAAUCGGCGCUCAGUUCGGAUUGAAGGCUGCAACUCGCCUUCAUGAAGUCGGAAUCGCUAGUAAACGCAGAUCAGCUACGCUGCGUUGAAUACGUUCCCGGGCCUUGUA
rnacentral:rRNA from 2 species